UGCCUAUAUCGGACAGAAGGAAGCAAAAGU
rnacentral:piRNA from 1 species